GCUAAAUUGAUGUCGUAGAUCAUACAGUGAUGUAUUCCCAACUGCUUAAGCCUCUGGACUGAUGUCAUGGAUCACACUAUGACAUAUUCACACAACUCAGCAGGUUUUAAAGCAUUGACAAUUUAACUGUACUCAUUAUCUUUUUCCUGUCAGUAGGAGAUGCAGCUUGGGGUGGAUUUGUAGCAGAAAAAAUGGAAGCAAAAUUGUUAAGAAACUUCCCCCUCCACCAUUGCCCACUGCUCAACUUCUGCUAGAAGUUUCAGCCAAGAAAGGAAGGAAGAAAAAUAAAGAGAAAGAAUAAGAGAAUUGAUGAAGGGAGGUAGUGGGAGAGGAAUGGAACACCUGUGCAUCCCAUGUUGUUUGACUCCGAUAGUCCAGUGGCUCUUCUGCCUCCUGCUUACCUUCUUGUAUCCUUGCAGGUUCCUCUAGAGCACUUACCUUCAGCAAGGUAGAGGGCCACCUGAAACAGGUGGGGAAAGUCUACAGCAGCAGCUCCAGAGCAAAUACGUAUAUGGAGCUGGCUUCCACAAAGAGUGAGGUCUCCUUCCUAAAGAAAGUACUAGAGGAGUGGGGGAGAAACUCAUGGAUCACCAUCCACAGCACCAGAAAGAGCCUGCACGACAGCUGAUGCUUAGGUCACAUGGCUAUGAGCAGCCAGCAGGCAGAACAAGAGGCUCCUUUAUUUUAUUUAUUUUGCUUUACUUUACAUUGUUUUGUUUUUAAAUUUGUUUUCUGCCCUUCACCCAAAGAUCACAAAGCAGUUCACAAUAUAGGGUGCCCUAGCCUGCUGUCUUUGGUUUUCCUUUGGGUAAGGACAGUGGCCCAUCAGUUUGGUAGUCAGCAUGUUCUAGCAUAUUCAGUGCAAUUAACUUCAGCCACAAAGGGCAAUGAGAGACAUGGGAAUGAUGGGGAAGCCCUAUGUGCAUUGGGAAAAUGUGGCUUUACCCAAAACACUUGUUACAUUAUACAUCCCUUACUAACUCCAUUCUUCCAUGUCUCCUAACAAAGCAAAAUAACACCUGUUUAUCUGUCUUUUGUGUUCAAAUCUCAAUUAUCACACCACAUUGAAUAUGCCCUAAUUACCAUAUUUACUCGAAUCAAAUCACACCUUUUUUGCCAAAUCACGUUAUGAUUUCCUCCUGUUUCCUGCUUGGCAGGGGGUUGGACUCGAUGGCCCUUGUGGUCUCUUCCAACUCUAUAAUUCUAUGAUUCUAUGAUUCUAAUAUUUAAAAUAUGAAAUAUUUAUGAAUAUUUACUUGGAUGAUGGACUCAAGGGCAUCCUGAUCAAAUUUGCAGAUGACACCAAACUGGGAGGGGUGGCUAACACCCCAGAGGACAGGAUCACACUUCAAAAUGACCUUGACAGAUUAGAGAACUGGGCCAAAACAAACAAGAUGAAUUUUAACAGAGAGAAAUGUAAAGUAUUUCACUUGGGCAAAAAAAUAAGAGGCACAAAUACAAGAUGGGUGACACCUGGCUUGAGAGCAGUACAUGUGAAAAGGAUCUAGGAGUCUUGGUUGACCACAAACUUAACAUGAGCCAACAAUGUGACGUGGCAGCUAAAAGCCAAUGCAAUUCUGGGCUGCAUCAAUAGGAGUAUAGCAUCUAGAUCAAGGGAAGUAAUAGUGCCACUGUAUUCUGCUCUGGUCAGACCUCACCUGGAGUACUGUGUCCAGUUCUGGGCACCACAGUUCAAGAAGGACACUGACAAACUGGAACGUGUCCAGAGGAGGGCAACCAAAAUGGUCAAAGGCCUGGAAACGAUGCCUUAUGAGGAACGGCUAAGGGAGCUGGGCAUGUUUAGCCUGGAGAAGAGGAGGUUAAGGGGUGAUAUGAUAGCCAUGUUCAAAUAUAUAAAAGGAUGUCACAUAGAGGAGGGAGAAAGGUUGUUUUCUGCUGCUCCAGAGAAGCGGACACGGAGCAAUGGAUCCAAACUACAAGAAAGAAGAUUCCACCUAAACAUUAGGAAGAACUUCCUGACAGUAAGAGCUGUUCAACAGUGGAAUUUGCUGCCAAGGAGUGUGGUGGAGUCUCCUUCUUUGGAGGUCUUUAAGCAGAGGCUUGACAACCAUAUGUCAGGAGUGCUCUGAUGGUGUCUCCUGCUUGGCAGGGGGUUGGACUCGAUGGCCCUUGUGGUCUCUUCCAACUCUAUGAUUCUAUGAUUCUAUGAUUCUAGGUGUGCAUUAGACUCGAUGACACAUUUACAUUUGCCAGCAAAUACUUUUUUUGGUUUCAAGGUUCUGAAAAUUGAGGUGCGCAUUAAAUUCAAUGGCACAUUAGACUCAAGUAAAUACGGUACCUCGUGCUUUGUAACCACAGUGUAACUAACAUUCCCCUUUCCUGACAGUGCGACACUGUGUGGGCAGGAGUCAGGGAGCCAGACGGAAGGGAAAGACUUCAACUCAGCUCAGACUCCGCAAAUCAGCAGCAAAGCAAGGCCCAGGGCUGCUGGAGGCUGACUGCAAGGGGCCACGUCCAUUGCUGUCCAAGGUUCUGAACUACUAAAGAGCCGUAAGCAGUAAGGUCUUGCCUGGAAGCCGGAUACUUCGCUAUUAAGUGUGCUGUUUCAUGCCUUAAUGUAGAAGCCCAAUCUAGGAACCGGGCUUCUUGCUUUGCCUGGCAUCCUAUAAGUUGGGGCUGGACACACUGGUGGCACUGGUGGCACUAGGGCACUCCAACUGUGGUGCUGAGCAUUACCCUGUUAGUCUUUGUGCUUUAACAUGCGGUAUGCAGGCUAGAACUGUGCAUUACACAUAAUACAUUCUGCAGGUUGGCUACGCAGCUAUGUUGUGCUUCAUUCUUGCUGGGUAUGAGUAACGUGUGGUCAUCACCCCAAGCAUUUUUAUUGCCUUCAAAUCCAGAAAGAGCAGCUGCCCUUGGCAGAACACAACAAAGAUGCUGAAAUGGCUGGGCCUCUGGUUUGUGGAACAGUUUUGGGCUUGAUUUGGGACCGACUCUUGAAAGAGCUAAGCAGGACUAAGUAGCUUCAUGAGUGUAGCUUGACCAGCAGCAAGAUCCAGUCCUAAAGG